CGGGACACGUGGUAUCCUGUCUGAAUAUGGGGGGACCAUCCUCCAAGGCUAAAUACUCCUGACUGACCGAUAGUGAACCAGUACCGUGAGGGAAAGGCGAAAAGAACCCCGGCGAGGGGAGUGAAAAAGAACCUGAAACCGUGUACGUACAAGCAGUGGGAGCCUCUUUAUGGGGUGACUGCGUACCUUUUGUAUAAUGGGUCAGCGACUUAUAUUCUGUAGCAAGGUUAACCGAAUAGGGGAGCCGAAGGGAAACCGAGUCUUAACUGGGCGUUAAGUUGCAGGGUAUAGACCCGAAACCCGGUGAUCUAGCCAUGGGCAGGUUGAAGGUUGGGUAACACUAACUGGAGGACCGAACCGACUAAUGUUGAAAAAUUAGCGGAUGACUUGUGGCUGGGGGUGAAAGGCCAAUCAAACCGGGAGAUAGCUGGUUCUCCCCGAAAGCUAUUUAGGUAGCGCCUCGUGAAUUCAUCUCCGGGGGUAGAGCACUGUUUCGGCAAGGGGGUCAUCCCGACUUACCAACCCGAUGCAAACUGCGAAUACCGGAGAAUGUUAUCACGGGAGACACACGGCGGGUGCUAACGUCCGUCGUGAAGAGGGAAACAACCCAGACCGCCAGCUAAGGUCCCAAAGUCAUGGUUAAGUGGGAAACGAUGUGGGAAGGCCCAGACAGCCAGGAUGUUGGCUUAGAAGCAGCCAUCAUUUAAAGAAAGCGUAAUAGCUCACUGGUCGAGUCGGCCUGCGCGGAAGAUGUAACGGGGCUAAACCAUGCACCGAAGCUGCGGCAGCGACGCUUAUGCGUUGUUGGGUAGGGGAGCGUUCUGUAAGCCUGCGAAGGUGUACUGUGAGGUAUGCUGGAGGUAUCAGAAGUGCGAAUGCUGACAUAAGUAACGAUAAAGCGGGUGAAAAGCCCGCUCGCCGGAAGACCAAGGGUUCCUGUCCAACGUUAAUCGGGGCAGGGUGAGUCGACCCCUAAGGCGAGGCCGAAAGGCGUAGUCGAUGGGAAACAGGUUAAUAUUCCUGUACUUGGUGUUACUGCGAAGGGGGGACGGAGAAGGCUAUGUUGGCCGGGCGACGGUUGUCCCGGUUUAAGCGUGUAGGCUGGUUUUCCAGGCAAAUCCGGAAAAUCAAGGCUGAGGCGUGAUGACGAGGCACUACGGUGCUGAAGCAACAAAUGCCCUGCUUCCAGGAAAAGCCUCUAAGCAUCAGGUAACAUCAAAUCGUACCCCAAACCGACACAGGUGGUCAGGUAGAGAAUACCAAGGCGCUUGAGAGAACUCGGGUGAAGGAACUAGGCAAAAUGGUGCCGUAACUUCGGGAGAAGGCACGCUGAUACGUAGGUGAAGUCCCUUGCGGAUGGAGCUGAAAUCAGU
rnacentral:rRNA from 1 species